rnacentral:rRNA from 1 species
UACAGAGGAUGCAAGCGUUAUCCGGAAUGAUUGGGCGUAAAGCGUCUGUAGGUGGCUUUUUAAGUCCGCCGUCAAAUCCCAGGGCUCAACUCUGGACAGGCGGUGGAAACUACCAAGCUGGAGUACGGUAGGGGCAGAGGGAAUUUCCGGUGGAGCGGUGAAAUGCGUAGAGAUCGGAAAGAACACCAGUGGCGAAGGCGGCGGCCUGGGUCAAAACUGACACUGAGGUGCGAAAGCGUGGGGAGCAAACAGG